rnacentral:rRNA from 1 species
AACACGGACCAAGGAGUCUAGCAUGUGCGCGAGUCAUUGGGAAUUACUAAACCUAAAGGCGCAAUGAAAGUGAAGGUCCGCCUCGCGCGGACCCAGGGAAGAUGGGCGUCAUCCACCGCAAGUUGGACCGCCCCGCACUCCCGGGGCGUCUCGUUCUCAUUGCGAGAAGAGGCGCACCAAGAGCGUACACGCUGGGACCCGAAAGAUGGUGAACUAUGCCUGGUCAGGACGAAGUCAGGGGAAACCCUGAUGGAGGUCCGUAGCGAUUCUGACGUGCAAAUCGAUCGUCGGAACUGGGUAUAGGGGCGAAAGACUAAUCGAACCAUCUAGUAGCUGGUUCCCUCCGAAGUUUCCCUCAGGAUAGCUGGCGCUCGUCGCCUACGAGUCUCAUCCGGUAAAGCGAAUGAUUAGAGGCAUUGGGGUCGAAACGGCCUCAACCUAUUCUCAAACUUUAAAUGGGUGAGAUCUCCGGCUUGCUCGAACUAUUGAAGCCGCGAGAAACGGAUCAGAGUGCCAAGUGGGCCAUUUUUGGUAAGCAGAACUGGCGCUGUGGGAUGAACCAAACGCCGAGUUAAAGCGCCUAAAUCGACGCUUAUGGGAUACCAUGAAAGGCGUUGGUAACUUAAGACAGCAGGACGGUGGCCAUGGAAGUCGGAAUCCG